rnacentral:rRNA from 1 species
GCUUAGCCCUAAACAUAAACAUCCGAUAAACAAGAAUGUUCGCCAGAGUACUACUAGCAACGGCCUAAAACUCAAAGGACUUGGCGGUGCUUUACAUCCCU